CUGCUGCUUUCCUUGAUGGAUGGGAACACCUGCUUUGUUUGAAAAGGCUGCAGUUGGAGCCAUCAUCACCCCAACAGAACUAAUGAUAGGAUUUUCUCCCCUUUGAGAAGCGCCCAGAUGAAGAACUUGUGAUUCGUAUUUCUGGAUACCUCCAUUUUUUCUGCACCUGACAAGGCACCUAAUUCGCAGAGCAGGAGAAAGGGUGGCAUACGGAGUCUGUCACAGUUUGAUACUGCCGGCUCUCCAGGAGAAGGCCUCUUGCCAUUGAUGACAGUGAAUUGUAUAGCAAGGUGAUGGAUACCACUGCAUGGAGAAGAAACCAACUGGCAGAGGACUAGAUAGUUAUCUCUUCAGCCAAGAUAAACAGCUACGUUCACAAAAUGCCAAUUGUCAUCCGUGGGCGCUGCAGUUUGACACUGACAAAGGCUCAGUACCUGGAGGGGAACCAGAAGCAACAUGCCUGCUCCUUUGGCUGCGCGCAGUUUCUGCUUGACGUGUCUUGGGUUGUUCCUUCAGGAGACUGGCUUGCGGAGUGAGUCAUAAGUGUAGAGGUGCUGAGAAUUCAGAAAUCAUCUACACAAAGAAGAAAUAAGCUCUGAACCACAGUAUAGCUUGAGGAGAAAGGCAUACAGUCCCCGUUGGUGUGGAUCAGCAAGGGUCUGUGUUUUACAACUUCACAAGGCUCAGCCCACCUGUUUUUCUCAUUUGAAGCU